UUAGAUUUAAGGUUUAGGUUAAGUUUUGGAUUAGGGUUAAGUUUUAGGAUUGAUUAAUGGUUGAGGUUGGGUUCAGGGUUAGAUUUAAGGUUUAUGUUAAGUUUUGGAUCAGGGAUACAUUUUAAUGGUUGAGGUUGGGUUCAGGGUUAGAUUUAAGGUUUAUGUUAAGUUUUGGAUCAGGGAUACAUUUUAAUGGUUGAGGUUGGGUUCAGGGUUAGAUUUAAGGUUUAUGUUAAGUUUUGGAUCAGGGAUAAGUUUUAAUGGUUGAGGUUGGGUUCAGGGUUAGAUUUAAGGUUUAGGUUAAGUUUUGGAUUAGGGUUAAGUUUUAGGAUUGAUUAAUGGUUGAGGUUGGGUUCAGGGUUAGAUUUAAGGUUUAUGUUAAGUUUUGGAUCAGGGAUAAGUUUUAAUGGUUGAGGUUGGGUUCAGGAUUAGAUUUAAGGUUUAGGUUAAGUUUUGUAUCAGAGUUGGUUUUUAUUGUUGAUUCUUGUUUGAGGUUAGGUUUUGGAGUUUAGGGUUGAUCCAUGGUUAAGGUUAGGCUUAGGGUUAAAGUUAGAUGCAGAGUUAGAUUCUAUA